rnacentral:piRNA from 1 species
UCUGUUAGAUAAUCUCACAGGCUCUUCCAGC